CGAUGAGCGGCGGACGGGUGAGUAACACGUAGGCAACCUGCCCUCAAGCUGUGGGACAACUACCGGAAACGGUAGCUAAUACCGAAUAGUUGUUUCUUCUCCUGAAGAGAACUGGAAAGACGGAGCAAUCUGUCACUAUGGGUGAUGUGGCCUGCGGCGGCAUUAAGCUAGAUUAUGGUGGGGGUAAACGGCUUCAACCCAANUGCGAACCGAAUGCGUAAGCCGGACCUUGAGAAGGGGUUGGAAUCCUGGGCCCAACAACUUGGGGAACUUGAAAGAACCAACGGGGCCCCCAAAGGAAACNUUCCCUUAACCGGGGAANNGGCCAAGGCCAANG
rnacentral:rRNA from 1 species